AACGCGAAGAACCUUACCUGGUCUUGACAUCCCUCUGACGUGAGAGUAACGUCUCAUUUCCUUCGGGACAGAGGAGACAGGUGGUGCAUGGUUGUCGUCAGCUCGUGUCGUGAGAUGUUGGGUUAAGUCCCGCAACGAGCGCAACCCUUAUCCUUAGUAGCCAGCAAGUAGUGUUGGGCACUCUGGGGAGACUGCCAGGGAUAACCUGGAGGAAGGUGGGGAUGACGUCAAAUCAUCAUGCCCCUUAUGAUUUGGGCUACACACGUGCUACAAUGGCGUAAACAAAGAGAAGCAAGACCGCGAGGUGGAGCAAAUCUCAAAAAUAACGUCUCAGUUCGGAUUGCAGGCUGCAACUCGCCUGCAUGAAGCUGGAAUCGCUAGUAAUCGCGAAUCAGAAUGUCGCGGUGAAUACGUUCCCGGGUCUUGUACACACCG
rnacentral:rRNA from 1 species